GAUGAACGCUGGCGGCGUGCCUAACACAUGCAAGUCGAACGAAGCUUGACGGAUGAUUUCUUCGGAAUGAAACCAGAUAUGACUUAGUGGCGGACGGGUGAGUAACACGUGAGCAACCUGCCUUUCAGAGGGGGAUAACGGCUGGAAACGGUCGCUAAUACCGCAUGAUGUGUUCGGAUGGCAUCAUCUGAACAUCAAAGAUUUAUCGCUGAAAGAUGGGCUCGCGUCUGAUUAGAUAGUUGGUGGGGUAACGGCCUACCAAGUCUACGAUCAGUAGCCGGACUGAGAGGUUGAACGGCCACAUUGGGACUGAGAUACGGCCCAGACUCCUACGGGAGGCAGCAGUGGGGAAUAUUGCACAAUGGGGGAAACCCUGAUGCAGCAACGCCGCGUCAAGGAUGACGGUUUUCGGAUUGUAAACUUCUUUUCUUAGUGACGAAGACAGUGACGGUAGCUAAGGAAUAAGCAUCGGCUAACUACGUG
rnacentral:rRNA from 1 species